UACGAAGGGGGCUAGCGUUGCUCGGAAUCACUGGGCGUAAAGGGUGCGUAGGCGGGUCUUUAAGUCAGGGGUGAAAGCCUGUGGCUCAACCACAGAAUUGCCUUCGAUACUGUUUGGCUUGAGACCGGAAGAGGACAGCGGAACUGCGAGUGUAGAGGUGAAAUUCGUAGAUAUUCGCAAGAACACCAGUGGCGAAGGCGGCUGUCUGGUCCGGUUCUGACGCUGAGGCGCGAAAGCGUGGGGAGCAAACAGG
rnacentral:rRNA from 1 species